UAUUUCUUGUUUGUGUUUGUUCUUUUUUCUGGUUCAUUUUGUUGGUGUUCUUGGCAGGUUAUUAAAGGGUUCAAUCACUUUCAAUAUCAUCCUCUUAUACUAGGUACUCUGACUAUGAUUUCAAGCUAGAUUUCUCGAACGUAGACAUCUUAAAAAACCAUGGUGAAAACAGAAAAGAGUUGGGAUAUCAGAAACUCAGAUGCUGAGGGAGACACCAUCAGUUGCUGGAAUCAUUAACCCAGCUGUAAUCGUCACUGGUAUGCCAUUUGCCACAAUGAUAGAUCAUAAGAUGUGACAAGCGAAAUAGAAAAUGAUACUUAAUUUUGAAGGCUUUGUGUUGGGCAGCUGUAGAAUAUUUUGUGCUGAAAGUAGUAAUUUUUCAAUAUGUUGAAUAUUUAAGACUACUUGAAUACUUAAAGAAUAUUUUGUUGUUGAUGACAGUGUUGAAUGUUUUAAACUAAUUUGUGGAUUGUUAAUACAAUGUUGAAUGUUUUAAA